rnacentral:tRNA from 1 species
CAGGAGGUAGUUUAUAAAAAAAUAUUAAUUUUGGGGAUUAAUGAAAUAGGAUUUCUUUCCUUCUGA